rnacentral:rRNA from 1 species
UACGUAGGUAGCAAGCGUUAUUCGGAUUUACUGGGCGUAAAGGGUCCGCAGGGGGCCUGCCAAGUCUGAUGUGAAAUGCCACGGCUCAACCGUGGAACGGCAUUGGAAACUGGCGGGCUAGAGUGCAUGAGGGGUGAGCAGAAUUCCUGGUGUAGCGGUGGAAUGCGUAGAUAUCAGGAGGAAUACCGAUGGCGAAGGCGGCUCACUGGCGUGCAACUGACCCUCAGGGACGAAAGCGUGGGUAGCAAACAGG